CUUAACACAUGCAAGUCGAGGGGCAGCAUGGUCUUAGCUUGCUAAGGCCGAUGGCGACCGGCGCACGGGUGAGUAACACGUAUCCAACCUGCCGUCUACUCUUGGACAGCCUUCUGAAAGGAAGAUUGAUACAAGAUGGCAUCAUGAGUCCGCAUGUUCACAUGAUUAAAGGUAUUCCGGUAGACGAUGGGGAUGCGUUCCAUUAGAUAGUAGGCGGGGUAACGGCCCACCUAGUCUUCGAUGGAUAGGGGUUCUGAGAGGAAGGUCCCCCACAUUGGAACUGAGACACGGUCCAAACUCCUACGGGAGGCAGCAGUGAGGAAUAUUGGUCAAUGGGCGAGAGCCUGAACCAGCCAAGUAGCGUGAAGGAUGACUGCCCUAUGGGUUGUAAACUUCUUUUAUAAAGGAAUAAAGUCGGGUAUGCAUACCCGUUUGCAUGUACUUUAUGAAUAAGGAUCGGCUAACUCCGUGCCAGCAGCCGCGGUAAUACGGAGGAUCCGAGCGUUAUCCGGAUUUAUUGGGUUUAAAGGGAGCGUAGAUGGAUGUUUAAGUCAGUUGUGAAAGUUUGCGGCUCAACCGUAAAAUUGCAGUUGAUACUGGAUAUCUUGAGUGCAGUUGAGGCAGGCGGAAUUCGUGGUGUAGCGGUGAAAUGCUUAGAUAUCACGAAGAACUCCGAUUGCGAAGGCAGCCUGCUAAGCUGCAACUGACAUUGAGGCUCGAAAGUGUGGGUAUCAAACAGGAUUAGAUACCCUGGUAGUCCACACGGUAAACGAUGAAUACUCGCUGUUUGCGAUAUACGGCAAGCGGCCAAGCGAAAGCGUUAAGUAUUCCACCUGGGGAGUACGCCGGCAACGGUGAAACUCAAAGGAAUUGACGGGGGCCCGCACAAGCGGAGGAACAUGUGGUUUAAUUCGAUGAUACGCGAGGAACCUUACCCGGGCUUAAAUUGCAGAUGAAUUACGGUGAAAGCCGUAAGCCGCAAGACAUCUGUGAAGGUGCUGCAUGGUUGUCGUCAGCUCGUGCCGUGAGGUGUCGGCUUAAGUGCCAUAACGAGCGCAACCCUUGUUGUCAGUUACUAACAGGUUCCGCUGAGGACUCUGACAAGACUGCCAUCGUAAGAUGUGAGGAAGGUGGGGAUGACGUCAAAUCAGCACGGCCCUUACGUCCGGGGCUACACACGUGUUACAAUGGGGGGUACAGAGGGCCGCUACCACGCGAGUGGAUGCCAAUCCCAAAAACCUCUCUCAGUUCGGACUGGAGUCUGCAACCCGACUCCACGAAGCUGGAUUCGCUAGUAAUCGCGCAUCAGCCACGGCGCGGUGAAUACGUUCCCGGGCCUUGUACACACCGCCCGUCAAGCCAUGGGAGCCGGGGGUACCUGAAGUGCGUAACCGCGAGGAGCGCCCUAGGGUAAAACUGGUGACUGGGGCUAAGUCGU
rnacentral:rRNA from 1 species